rnacentral:rRNA from 1 species
UACGUAGGGUGCUAGCGUUGUCCGGAUUUAUUGGGCGUAAAGAGCGCGUAGGCGGCCAUGUAGGUCCGGUGUGAAAACUCGAGGCUUAACCUCGAGAUGUCAUCGGAAACCAUUUGGCUAGAGUCCGGAAGAGGAGAGUGGAAUUCCUGGUGUAGCGGUGAAAUGCGCAGAUAUCAGGAAGAACACCAAUGGCGAAAGCAGCUCUCUGGGACGGUACUGACGCUGAGACGCGAAAGCGUGGGGAGCGAACAGG